rnacentral:rRNA from 1 species
AACGAACGCUGGCGGCAGGCCUAACACAUGCAAGUCGAGCGCGCCCUCGGGUGAGCGGCGGACGGGUGAGUAACGCGUGGGAAUAUGCCCUUCUCUACGGAAUAGUCCUGGGAAACUGGGGGUAAUACCGUAUACGCCCUUUGGGGGAAAGAUUUAUCGGGGAAGGAUUAGCCCGCGUUGGAUUAGGUAGUUGGUGGGGUAAUGGCCUACCAAGCCGACGAUCCAUAGCUGGUUUGAGAGGAUGAUCAGCCACACUGGGACUGAGACACGGCCCAGACUCCUACGGGAGGCAGCAGUGGGGAAUCUUAGACAAUGGGGGCAACCCUGAUCUAGCCAUGCCGCGUGAGUGAUGAAGGCCUUAGGGUUGUAAAGCUCUUUCAGCUGGGAAGAUAAUGACGGUACCAGCAGAAGAAGCCCCGGCUAACUCCGUG